CCUACGGGAGGCAGCAGUAGGGAAUAUUGCUCAAUGGGGGAAACCCUGAAGCAGCAACGCCGCGUGGAGGAUGAAGGUUUUCGGAUUGUAAACUCCUUUUGUUAGAGAAGAUAAUGACGGUAUCUAACGAAUAAGCACCGGCUAACUCCGUGCCAGCAGCCGCGGUAAUACGGAGGGUGCAAGCGUUACUCGGAAUCACUGGGCGUAAAGAGCGCGUAGGCGGGAUAGCAAGUCAGAUGUGAAAUCCUAUGGCUUAACCAUGGAACUGCAUUUGAAACUGUUAUGCUAGAGUGUGGGAGAGGUAGGUGGAAUUCUUGGUGUAGGGGUAAAAUACGUAGAGAUCAAGAGGAAUACUCAUUGCGAAGGCGACCUGCUAGAACAUAACUGACGCUGAUGCGCGAAAGCGUGGGGAGCAAACAGGAUUAGAUACCCCAGUAGUC
rnacentral:rRNA from 1 species